UACGUAGGGUGCAAGCGUUGUCCGGAAUUAUUGGGCGUAAAGAGCUCGUAGGUGGCCCGUCGCGUCGGCUGUGAAAACUCGGGGCUCAACUCCGAGCUUGCAGUCGAUACGGGCAGGCUAGAGUUCGGCAGGGGAGACUGGAAUUCCUGGUGUAGCGGUGAAAUGCGCAGAUAUCAGGAGGAACACCGGUGGCGAAGGCGGGUCUCUGGGCCGAUACUGACGCUGAGGAGCGAAAAGCGUGGGGGAGCGAACAGG
rnacentral:rRNA from 1 species